rnacentral:rRNA from 1 species
UGAUAUUCCUGUACCACCUAGUAUCGUUUUAAUCGAUGGGGGGACGCAGUAGGAUAGGCGAAGCGUGCUGUUGGAGUGCACGUCCAAGCAGUAAGGCUGAGUGUUAGGCAAAUCCGGCACUCUUAAGGUCAAGUUGUGAUGGGGAGAGGAAAUUGUUUCCUCGAGUCGUUGAUUUCACACUGCCGAGAAAAGCCUCUAGAUAGAUAACAGGUGCCCGUACCGCAAACCGACACAGGUGGGCGAGAUGAGUAUUCUAAGGCGCUUGAGAGAACUCGGGAGAAGGAACUCGGCAAAUUGACACCGUAACUUCG